GUAGUUAGCCGGAGCUUCUUAGUCAGGUACCGUCAUUUAUUUCUUCCCUGCUGAUAGAAGUUUACGAUCCGAAAACCUUCAUCCUUCACGCGGCGUCGCUGCAUCAGGCUUUCGCCCAUUGCCCAAUAUUCCCCACUGCUGCCUCCCGUAGGAGUCUGGACCGUGUCUCAGUUCCAGUGUGGCCGAUCAGCCUCUCAGCUCGGCUACCCAUCGCGGACUUGGUGGGCCGUUACCCCGCCAACUAUCUAAUGGGACGCGAGCCCCUCCUUCAUCGAAUUGCUCCUUUUACCUCUCUGCCAUGCGACAGUGUGGUCUUAUGCGGUAUUAGCACCGAUUUCUCGACGUUAUCCCCCUCUUUAGGUCAGGUUGUUCACGCGUUACUCACCCGUUCGCCACUAAAAUGUUCCGACCGAAAUCAAAACAUCUCCGUUCGACUUGCAUGUGUUAGGCACGCCGCCAGCGUUCGUCCUGAGCCAGGAUCAAACUCUGA
rnacentral:rRNA from 1 species